CCUACGGGAGGCAGCAGUGGGGAAUUUUCCGCAAUGGGCGAAAGCCUGACGGAGCAAUACCGCGUGAGGGAAGACGGCCUAUGGGUUGUAAACCUCUUUUCUCAGGGAGGAACUCAAUGACGUUACCUGAGGAAUAAGCAUCGGCUAACUCCGUGCCAGCAGCCGCGGUAAGACGGAGGAUGCAAGUGUUAUCCGGAAUCACUGGGCGUAAGGCGUCUGUAGGUGGCUUAACAAGUCAACUGUUAAAUCUUGAAGCUCAACUUCGAAAUCGCAGUCGAAACUGUUAGGCUAGAGUAUAGUAGGGGUAAAGGGAAUUUCCAGUGGAGCGGUGAAAUGCGUAGAGAUUGGAAAGAACACCGAUGGCGAAGGCACUUUACUGGGCUAUUACUGACACUCAGAGACGAAAGCUAGGGUAGCAAAUGGGAUUAGAUACCCCAGUAGUCCUAGCCGUAAACAAUGGAUACUAGAUGUUGGGCAGAUCGACCUGUUCAGUAUUAAAGCUAACGCGUUAAGUAUCCCGCCUGGGAAGUAUGCGCGCAAGCGUGAAACUCAAAGGAAUUGACGG
rnacentral:rRNA from 1 species